rnacentral:misc_RNA from 1 species
CCGAGUGAGGGCCCUCUGGGUCCAACCUCCCACCCGUGUUUACCGUACCCUGUUGCUUCGGCGGGCCCGCCCUCAGCGGCCGCCGGGAUGGCCCCUUGCGCCUCCGGGCCCGCGCCCGCCGAAGACACCUGUGAACGCUGUAUGAAGAUUGCAGUCUGAGCUUAUUAGCUAAAUUAGUUA